AACUUUCGGCAACGGAUCACUUGGCUUUCGCAUCGAUGAAGUACGCCGCGAAAGUGCGAAACGUAAUGUGAAUUGCAGAAUUCAGUGAAGCAUCGAAUCUUUGAACGCAUCUUGCGCUCCUUGGUAUUCCGAGGAGCAUGCCUGUUUGAGUGUCGCGCGUGAGUGUGGGAAGCUCUCAGCCGAGCCUUUAUAUUAAAGGUAGGGUUGGAUGUGGACGUCUGCUGUAUCCCGGCUCGUCUUGAAAUGUAUCAGCCGGUCUGGCCUUGGUUUUUAAUGACGGUGUGAUAAGAUACCUCUGUGUAACACUGUGUUUUUGAAUCCAAGGGGUGGACUGCUUCUAACUGUCCCUAGGGACCAUAUUAAAGAUAAGACCUCAAAUCAGGUAGGACUACCCGCUGAACUUAAGCAUAUCAAUAAGCGGAGGCU
rnacentral:misc_RNA from 1 species